rnacentral:rRNA from 2 species
GAUCCAGACUUUGAUUCUGGCUCAGGAUGAACGCUAGCUACAGGCUUAACACAUGCAAGUCGAGGGGAAACGAUAGAGAAAGCUUGCUUUUUCUAGGCGUCGACCGGCGCACGGGUGAGUAACGCGUAUCCAACCUGCCCAUCACUUGGGGAUAACCUUGCGAAAGUAAGACUAAUACCCAAUGAUAUCUCAAGAAGACAUCUGAAUGAGAUUAAAGAUUUAUCGGUGAUGGAUGGGGAUGCGUCUGAUUAGCUUGUUGGCGGGGUAACGGCCCACCAAGGCGACGAUCAGUAGGGGUUCUGAGAGGAAGGUCCCCCACAUUGGAACUGAGACACGGUCCAAACUCCUACGGGAGGCAGCAGUGAGGAAUAUUGGUCAAUGGGCGAGAGCCUGAACCAGCCAAGUAGCGUGCAGGAUGACGGCCCUAUGGGUUGUAAACUGCUUUUAUAAGGGAAUAAAGUGAGCCUCGUGAGGCUUUUUGCAUGUACCUUAUGAAUAAGGACCGGCUAAUUCCGUGCCAGCAGCCGCGGUGAUACGGAAGGUCCGGGCGUUAUCCGGAUUUAUUGGGUUUAAAGGGAGCGUAGGCCGGAGAUUAAGCGUGUUGUGAAAUGUAGACGCUCAACGUCUGCACUGCAGCGCGAACUGGUUUCCUUGAGUACGCACAAAGUGGGCGGAAUUCGUGGUGUAGCGGUGAAAUGCUUAGAUAUCACGAAGAACUCCGAUUGCGAAGGCAGCUCACUGGAGCGCAACUGACGCUGAAGCUCGAAAGUGCGGGUAUCGAACAGGAUUAGAUACCCUGGUAGUCCGCACGGUAAACGAUGGAUGCCCGCUGUUGGUCUGAAUAGGUCAGCGGCCAAGCGAAAGCAUUAAGCAUCCCACCUGGGGAGUACGCCGGCAACGGUGCAACUCAAAUGAAUUGACGG